rnacentral:rRNA from 1 species
AUUGAACGCUGGCGGAAUGCUUUACACAUGCAAGUCGAACGAUGAACCUUAGCUUGCUAAGGGGAUUAGUGGCGAACGGGUGAGUAAUGUAUCGUAACGUAUCCAAUAAUGGGGGAUAACUAGGCGACAGAUUAGCUAAUACCGCAUACGUCCUACGGGAGAAAGCUAGGGACCUUCGGGGCUGGCGUUAAUGGAGCGGCCGAUAUCUGAUUAGCUAGUUGGUGGGGGAAAGGCUCACCAAGGCGACAAUCAGUAGCUGGUCUGAGAGGACGACCAGCCAGACUGGAACUGAGACACGGUCCAGACUCCUACGGGAGGCAGCAGUGGGGAAUUUUGGACAAUGGGCGAAAGCCUGAUCCAGCCAUUCCGCGUGAGUGAAGAAGGCCUUCGGGUUGUAAAGCUCUUUCGCAAGGGAAGAAAACUUAAGCUCUAACAUAGCUUGAGGUUGACGGUACCUUGAUAAGAAGCACCGGCUAACUACGUGCCAGCCGCCGCCGUAA